GUGGGUCUGAAGACUAAAACAAUCACCAUGUCAAGGAUUAUGGAACCCACAUCUGAAUGGGUGAAUACAUUCGAUCUUGAGCUUUCUGGAAAAAUGAAUAAAAGAAGUAUCAUCUUGAAACGUGUCUGAAAAUUUUAAAUUUCAAAAAUUAGAAAAGAAUUCUGAAAGUAUCCAGGCAAAGAAAAUAAAUUAUCCCCCAAGGAACUAAAAUCAGAUUGCAAAAUGCUUUCAUCUCCAGCGCCUCUUACAUCUUACAGUUGGCUGGGACACUUCUCAGUCUAUCAACUAACUGAAUUAUCUAUAAGUGGAUCCGAGAAAGUUGGGACUCCUGAAGAUCAGGAAUAAUCCCAUCCAUUUGGUCAGUAAUUUUUUU
rnacentral:lncRNA from 1 species